GUGAGGAAUAUUGGUCAAUGGGCGGAAGCCUGAACCAGCCAAGUAGCGUGAAGGAUGACUGCCCUAUGGGUUGUAAACUUCUUUUAUAGGGGAAUAAAAUGAGCCACGUGUGGCUUUUUGUAUGUACCCUAUGAAUAAGGAUCGGCUAACUCCGUGCCAGCAGCCGCGGUAAUACGGAGGAUCCGAGCGUUAUCCGGAUUUAUUGGGUUUAAAGGGAGCGUAGGUGGACAUGUAAGUCAGUUGUGAAAGUUUGCGGCUCAACCGUAAAAUUGCAGUUGAUACUGUGUGUCUUGAGUACAGUAGAGGUGGGCGGAAUUCGUGGUGUAGCGGUGAAAUGCUUAGAUAUCACGAAGAACUCCGAUUGCGAAGGCAGCUCACUGGACUGUUACUGACACUGAGGCUCGAAAGUGUGGGUAUCAAACAGGAUUAGAAACCCCAGUAGUCC
rnacentral:rRNA from 1 species